rnacentral:lncRNA from 1 species
AACAGCCUGUAAUUAAUAUUGUUCAUUUAUUGGCACCUUGGCUUAUUAAGACCCACAACGAAAUAUACAUUGGAAACACUUCCCAUCAUGAGAAGGCCUGACAUGUGAGAGUAUCUUUAACAAUUCCUAAAAUAUCACUCAAUGUGUCAAAGGAGCAUCAGUGAGAACUGGAGGCUCAUGUUCCUUUUAAUUUUCUCCCAGAGGUCAAGUGCUCUCAUCACAGUCUUUACACACCUUCAUUUUCAGCACUUGCCAGUAUCCUGAACCCGUCAGCAUCUCUGCCCUGUACUUUACCCUGUGAGCUCCUUAAGGACGGUCACCGUGUCUGACACUUCUCUAAACUGCCGACAGUGCCUGCUAUGCAGUCACUACUCCAGAAAUACUUCUUCAAUCAACGCGUCAUAAAAUACAAGGAUGCAAUCCCAAAACAUCAAGCCACCACUACUUAGCAAAAGUUCAUUCAAACUCUGUGCAAAUAAGGCCAGUCCUCAGAGAAGAGUGGAACCAGAGUCAAAUGAUGUCAAGUUCUAGAAACCGGAGUCACUGGAUGGAGUCAUACCUGAGAUCGGCACAACCCAGUGUUCCCACCUAAAUGAACCAAAACUCUUUUCAGUGCUUCUGAAAGCUGUUAUUCCCAUGGGCAGUGUUCUGACUAAAACAGGAGUAGAACAGAUUUGUGGUGAGCACCCAUUCUGUGCCAGGUGUACACUGGGGGAGGAGCUAUAGGGAUGAGUAUGGUGCAUGCUCCCACUUUUGAGGAUGUCACUGAUAUUUUGGGGGAUGUGCAUGCAAAUUAUAAUGUGAAUAAUAACACAAUGUUAUAACAAGAAUAUAAGUUAAGUACCUGGUAUACUUAAAAGAUAAAGAAUGGGUCAUGAAGAUCUUCAAGAUCUGGAGACACCAGUGCAUGGUCUUCAACAAUGAAUAGUUUAUUGCUCUGAAGAAAAAGUUGGGAGCAAAUGGUUCCAGAUAGAAGAGGAGUAUGUGCAAAAUAUGGGGCUGUAUGGUAGCUUGGCACAUCUGGGGACCUCUUAGAGGGUUGGUAUUGUUGUGUGGGUUGGGGUUGUCACUAGAGAUGAAAUGAAAGAUGCAGAGACUUGACAAAUGGUGAAGUGCCUUGAUAGACACUAGCCUUCCACAUUGAGGACACAGAGUCGUAUUUCUUGUUGGAAAAUUAUGAGCAGACUCAGAUAAAUGAUACAAAUGCAGUAAAGAAUGUCAGAUGUAAGUAUACACAGACCAUGAUCAAAGCAGACAUCUCAGCUAUGUUUGUCAACUAAAGGGAAAACUGUCCAUCAGUCCAUCAGUCAAGCCUCAAAAAAAUCACCUCAUUUCCCAAGAUACUUACUGAUCUUGGGGAAGAUCACAUCAGAAAAUUUUUGUGAACCUGUCAUUACCAUUCAAAGGAAAAUUUCCUGGUUACACUUUCAUCCUGUAGGUACAGGCAGGCCUUAAAUCUUGUCUAAAGUUUAUUCCUAAACUAUUUCUCAUUCAGGAGGAAAUGUUUAUGUGAAGUCCACGGAAUCUAUCAGCUUUGUUAUUUGAUAUUUAUGAGAUUUAUGUUGCUGAAGAGUUGGAGCUGUUUCCUAUUUAUCUCGGAAUCUUAAUACUUAAGUAGAUAUGCAGUGAAUAUUUAUUGAACGGAAUUGCUGGGUAUAUACCUUCUCCACUGGGAGAAUACCCAGAGUGGAAAUUGUACACCUUCAACUUCUUGAAAGUCUUGAUAUGUUAUUUCCCCAUUAAUUAUCCAGCAAUCAGAGGUCUGGAUUUAAUAUUUUAAGAAGCAGAAUUUUAAUGAGAAGUGAAGUGUAAAUAUUUAUCUCCAAAAACAACAUAGCAGCAAUUCAUAGGAUCUCUAGCCUCUGAGUGUCAGAGUUUCUAGGUAUUGUGAUCUUUAAUUAUAUUCUCUGGCUGGCGUUUGUAGGCACAAUCUAUUUCUAUCUCUCCUUUUGCAUGGUCUCAUUUUUAUAAGUAUAAAUGUUCAAGAAUAAAUACAAGAUCCAAA